AAAUUACAAAAAUAAAAUAAUUAUACCAGUUAGCAACAUGGACAUUAACGAUUGUUGUUAUGAAAAUAAAUGGUGUAAAUGUUAAAACCUGCAGACACACAACAGUGGGUAUUAAUAUAAAUUAUUAUAUUAUAUCCAGAGUCAGUAGUUACAUCUGUCUGUGCCUCUUAUUUAUCAUUCAUUUUAGACUUAAAAAAAACCUAACAUCUGUUGUGUUGUCUUGUCAGACUGCAGUGAAGUUUCUGUAACAGAUUUAAUUUGGUUUUCUGCCCCUCUGCCCCUCCUGUCUGCCUCACAGGGUAAUCAGUUGAUCACAGUCACCUGGAUUCGUUGAGUCUCACUCGUGACACCUGGUGCCCACACUUUGUUGGUUCCUGGUCCCGUUGUCGUGGACCAUGUCAGUUGGUGAACUGUCGCAGUGGAGAUGUCUGUGAGGUGACAAACUCAAGAUGGAAUACUGCCCCUUACACCGCUGGAUGCAUCUAUAAUAUGUUUCAGAAAUUGGGGAACUGCUGACACCUGGAGCUUCAAGCUGCCGUGCACACGCUGUGGGAAUGAAGGCCCGGAGUUACCACCUCACUGCAGAUAUGAUGUGACAACGUUGUCUUGGAAUGUAGAAUUUUUCUGAGUCUCCACAUUUUGAUUUCAUCUGACCUACGCCCCUGUGAUGGAGUUUUAAUCCAGCAUGAUUUGGUUACCGUGAUUAAGCUUAAACUUACACUCCAUCACUGAAAAACCCUUCCAAUGUGUAACGUGGACUUUUAAUCCAGUCAUAAGGAACAGGAAUGUUUAAAACUGUGUGGAAAUAAUAAUAAGACUUUUUGAAGUAACUUUAGUUUUGAAUGGUACUGUAUGGAACUGACAGUAACUGGAAUAUUUCCAGUCACUGCUCUAUUUUCCUGGUCUUGCAUCAGAAUGUUGGUUAGUUUAAAGAGUGGCCACUGAUACAGCCAUACAGGGUAAGAUGUUGAUAGGCUGUUGUGGCUAAUGUUAGCUCUGGUCUCUGUUUUAGCAGCAAUAUGUUUUGGUCGUACCUGCACUUUAUUUAUUAUUUAUUUUUUAGUUUGGCAAAGUAUAGGUGCAAUACUGCCAUCUGGCAUGCAGGGGAGUGUGUGGCAGUAAAUUACAAUUUGUUAAAAUUUUGUUUGCUGAUUCCUGAAAUAGAAAUGUGUACAUAUUAAGGAAUCAUCAACAAAAAAAAGAGAAGCACGUUUCAACUGUAAACCCUGCAAAAUAUCUUCAUGCAUGUUUAAAUGCCACGUCUGCCUAAAGGCAGCAGCUGGAAUGUUUUUGGUUCCACAAAGCCACCAUUAACACCCUGCCAGCAUCAGCAGGUAAUUUAUUGCUUUAAUUACAGACAGAAAGGAAUACAAGAAAGACUGUUUCACCAGUCUAAUAGGUGUGACGCCUGUAGGUCCUCAAGGGGUCGCACGGGGUCAUCGUCACUCUUCAUAAAAUGAAGUCAAAGCCUGGGAAUCUAAAACGUAUGCAAAUGUUUUCAGCAUCUUUAGAAGUCUACAGGUAGAUGAGACAACCUGCUGAAUUUAUCUAAAAAAAAAAAAAAAAAACUUUGAUGUUGAAGGUUUUAAAGAACGUUUUUAUGCUGUUUUAGCUUUAUUCUCAUUUUUAUUAAUAUAGAAAUUCCUCACCAUUUAAUAUUUAUCGACUUUGCUCUGACAAAUAUAUAUAAUAUAAAUAAAUAGUCGCUCAGGUAUUCAGUUCUUUUGAUUUUCAGGAAACCCCUUAUUAGUAUUAAAUAGUUAAAUUUACAAAGUUGUGACGGUAAAAUCAUCUACAGGUGUUGGUGAUUAAAAUCAGAAGUCUUUUUCAGUCUUUUUGACCCUUUACCCUUGUGAGUCUGACUCAUGGAAGCCUCCCUGCUAUAGUGCUAGGCCAGUGUGGAAUGUCUGUGGAGCAUCAUCUCCCUCUCGCUCUCUGGUAGUUAAGUACUACGUGUCCUGCUCUUUGGAACUUCUGUUGCUGACUCUGGAUCAGCCAUCCAGUAUCAGCAACAGCUGUUCAAGGUCAAAACCAAUUGCACCAGAUUUAAUGAGUGCCUUUGGUGGUGAUUCAAAUACCGACUGCAUUCCAUUCCCAUGGCAUUUUUUAAAUAUCCAACAAUUUCUUCACCAACCAAAGCCACAGGAACAUCAACCAGUUUCACCCCGAGAGAGAUUUUAGAGCUGGAAAAAAAAAACAAAACUGUGCUGGUUCAAAUCCCUGCAUGGUUCCAUAUGUCCACGUCCGUCCAAGUCUGGUCGGGUGUUUGUUCUGCCGUGUAUUUGCAUAUAUACGUACAUCUACAGUGUACUCAGAUGUCUGGUUUAUGAUGCACUUGCAGUUUUUUUUUCUUUUCUUUUCUAUAUCUUCCAUAUUUGUGCGGUGGCGUGCACGCUAACGCGAGUUCACAUCAGUGUGUUUGUGUGUGUUUGGGUAGCUGUGGGUGAGCAGGGUGGGGCCAAAGACCCUGAUGUGGUCGCUUCUGCACUACUUCAACACAUGGCGAUGGGGGCAAAAGGCUCAAGGCAUGAUCGAGAAAGUCUGGGAACCUAGUGGCGUGUGUGUGUGUGUGUGUGUGUGUGUGUGUGUGUGCUCAGUCAGAUGGUGGACGACUGAUGUGACAGUAGUGAUGAUAAAAACGCAGUAUCAUGAUGUCGGCUUGGGAAUGUUUGCUUCAGGUACUUGGCACAGAUGUCUAAAUACCCCCGCCUCCUCCCCCACCU